rnacentral:misc_RNA from 1 species
GUCGCCGACUGUGCGAUGCCUGUCGAAGAUGGCGGAUGUGCGGUUUUAGGUGGUGGAUAUGUAUGAGACGUUAGCUUAGACGUUUCUAUGCCAUCCCGCUUAACAUCUAAACGUUGCCGGAUAUGAAAAGGCACACACCUUGGAUCGCAGUCCUCAUACUCUAUGUAACUGCCGAAGUUCGCUCGAGAAACUAUCAAGGACCAUCAUGGCGUUUGAGGAACGGUAUGCUGCUAGAGCGGAGCUUGCGUCUGCAGCCCAGCUGGACUCCCGAGAGAGGCUGGAAUGACCCAGAAGAACGAAUGGCAGAAGAGCCCCGUUUCAGGCAUGGGGAAAUUAGUAUUUCGAGUGACCGGGAGGCACCUGAACUUGGGGAGCGCAGUAGCCUUGGUGGCCCAUCCAGUGCAGAGGUUGCUGAGAGUGAUGUCUCUGGAUUAGACAGCCUUGUUGAUGAAUCUGCCAUUGUAGUGGGUGCCUCGGGUGACAGUGGAAGAGUUGAUAAAGCCACCCAGACCAAUUCAUCAGAAGAGGAUGUAAAAUUUGCAGCACCGCAUGCAGGGGCAUUGAGAGCAGGACCUGAUGAUAGCCAGCACUACGUCGUGAGGAAAUCUGCCUCUGUUAUCUCUGAUAUUUCUUUUGUAGUGCUUGUAGCAGGUUGCAGUGCUGUAGCUGUAUUUGGAGUGGUUGCGGCUGGUUACUGCUUCUACAAGGUCCAGAAGAAUGCACGUGCAGCUGCUGAUGUGGACUAUCCGGCAUAUGGGGUGACAGGGCCGAACAAAGAAGGGGCUUCUCCAACGGCUGAUCGCAAGCUGGCCCAAAGUGCCCAGAUGUACCAUUUCCAGCACCAGAAACAGCAGAUGAUUGCCGUAGAGAAGAACCAUACUAAUCGACACACCUCAGCAUCGGAUGUGGAUACUGAGGAGGAAGAAAAUGAGGAAGGUGAUUACACGGUCUAUGAGUGUCCUGGCAUGGCCUCGGGUGGCGAGUUGGAAGUCAAAAACCCACUGUUUCAAGACGACCAUCCAAUUGUGCUGGCCACACCAGAAGAUUUGGGCAGGACAUGUGAUGAAGAGAGAAAGAAGCGUUCACCCUGAGAAAAAAAUGAUGUGCAAGGCACCUCCUCCUCUGACACAUUGACCUCUGCGUUGCUGCUCCUAGGUCAUCAUUAACGAAGAAACAAAGGCUUGUGACAUACUGCUGUGACCAACCUACUUAUUAUCCUUGAUUGCAACUCGGUGCUGCACCCAGGCAUGCUUUGCACAUGACAUUGUCUUCUUUCUUGUAUAUUUGCGUGAGAGUACUUUCAUUAAAAUCUGGUCAGGGCA